rnacentral:rRNA from 1 species
GACGAACGCUGGCGGCGUGCCUAAUACAUGCAAGUAGAACGCUGAAGCGAGGAGCUUGCUCUUCUUGGAUGAGUUGCGAACGGGUGAGUAACGCGUAGGUAACCUGCCUUGUAGCGGGGGAUAACUAUUGGAAACGAUAGCUAAUACCGCAUAACAAUGGAUGGCACAUGUCAUUUAUUUGAAAGGGGCAAUUGCUCCACUACAAGAUGGACCUGCGUUGUAUUAGCUAGUAGGUGAGGUAAUGGCUUACCUAGGCGACGAUACAUAGCCGACCUGAGAGGGUGAUCGGCCACACUGGGACUGAGACACGGCCCAGACUCCUACGGGAGGCAGCAGUAGGGAAUCUUCGGCAAUGGGGGCAACCCUGACCGAGCAACGCCGCGUGAGUGAAGAAGGGUGUCGGAUCGUAAAGCUCUGUUGUAAGUCAAGAACGGGUGUGAGAGUGGAAAGUUCACACUGUGACGGUAGCUUACCAGAAAGGGACGGCUAACUACGUG